AACGAACGCUGGCGGCAGGCUUAACACAUGCAAGUCGAACGCAUGCCUUCGGGCAUGAGUGGCAGACGGGUGAGUAACGCGUGGGAACCUACCCCUUGGUACGGGAUAGCUCCGGGAAACUGGAGAUAAUACCGUAUGUGUCCUGAGGGACAAAGAUUCAUCGCCAAGGGAUGGGCCCGCGUCGGAUUAGCUAGUUGGUGGGGUAACGGCCUACCAAGGCGACGAUCCGUAGCUGGUCUAAGAGGAUGAUCAGCCACAUUGGGCCUGAGACACGGCCCAAACUCCUGCGGGGAGCAGCAGAGGGGAAUAGUGGACAAUGGGCGCAAGCCUGAUCCAGCCAGACCGCGUAUGUUAAGAAGACCUUCGGGUUGGGAAGCCCUUUUGUGGGGAAGGAAACGCAGCAGGUUAAUACCCCGCGGUUCUGACGGUACCCAAAGAAUAAGCACCGGCUAACUUCGUG
rnacentral:rRNA from 1 species